rnacentral:rRNA from 1 species
GUCUAUGGCCAUACCACCCUGAAUGCAUUCGAUCUCGUCUGGUCUCAUGAAGCUAAGCAGGGUCAGGCCUGGUUAGUAUUUGGAUGGGAGAAAGAUCUUCAUAGGAGGCUGCUCAGAGACA